AAUCGAUCCCGGAACUAUCCAAUUAUUGAACGUUAUAUAUAUAAUAAUAUAAAAAAUAGUUAAAAUAUUCAAAGUACUAUGAUUUCUCUAAUACUUGUUAGGUAAAACAAUUUUCUACCGAGGUUCUUCUCUCUUAAUUGCAUUCUCGAAAAUAUGAAUUUAUAUAAAAAUCCGUAGUCUAGUCUAACUGAUAUAAUAUGUGUUGUUUAAAUUUUACUACAGGCCCAGAUAAAAAAGACGUAAAAAGUGGCCUUUACUUCCUAUUUCGAAAUUCCAACCGUAUUGCUAUUUCUUCAAAUUAUCUUUACACGUCAUCCAGUAAUCUAAUCUUUCUAACUUCCCCAAAAAGAUGAAGUCGCUUGGCUGGAUUUUAAUAAAGUUAUUAUGUUUCAAGGAACGUGUGCUGAUAUUUGAUCGUCAUCAAGGAAACCGUGCUUUGCUGUAAUAUUAAUAAAUCAGCGUAUAUUUAUACUUGGGUAGAUAUUAAAUGAAGAUAAUAUAUAGGAUAAAGUGGAAGAUAAUAUUUCAACAGAUAUCACAAAAAUAUAGUAGAAAUAUAGUACGAUGAUUAUGAUAAUAUGGACAUGAUACAAUGGCUGAAUGGAUUUAAUAUGAUUCUUUUAAUUAAUCGUGACGCUAGGUUUAUCUCUGCAUCGAAUAAUCAUUUGGAACGUGGAUAUAAGGGUAAGAAAAUUAAAAUGGUGCGAGACAAGCGGUAUGUAACUUUAUAAAAUUAAAUCUGCUAAGGAAAAUGUGCAAUUUAACAGAUAAAAUAAUUUAUAAUACACGCAACAUGUUUAUAAAAUUUUUUUUAUGAGACGUAUUCAGAUACAAUACUUUCGUAAGCCCCUGUUUAUUUGACAAGGUCUAUAGCGUAUUCACCGUUCUACUCUUUUCGCUAGAUGCUGAGGGUACUCGAUAAUCGAGUGACUUUCGUGACUUCGAGUGAUUUCACUCAACGUCCAACGAACAGCUCGAAGCCGAAUACCAGGAAUAUUUCUUCUACACAGAAAGGAGAAGCAAGCUUACCCUUCGUACAAUAAAUAGAAGGAGCUACAUACGUUUUUAAUCGCGAAGAUCGCGGUAAACUUACGAAAUUUGGAAACGUCAAGGGUGUCGUAAGGUUUCUGUGAAUCCUUUUUAUGGAUUCCCGUGAGUCUCGAUUUACUGCCGCUUUUCGUAUUUCUUGUGCGUAUUAAAGGACCUUGCACGACGCAAUCUCAGCGGAAAAUCUUAGCAAUAAAACGUCCAGCUGUUAACCACAACUGGCAUUGAAAAAUUUGGAAAUGUCGUAAAAGUCCAGAUUGUCGAAGUAACACGUGCACGUUGUUCAAGUAACAUCGUAAAAAACAAUUUAGAGGAGACAAUUAUUAUAAUAGAAUUUCUCGAAUAAUUAGUAUGACGUGUGCCAUGUGAAUAAAUAGUCGUGUUUGAUGUGGUAUUAUUAGUUUCCAAUCAAAUUUAACUGUUCUUUUGGCAAUCUACGUAAGAGAUUCAAAGCAAACAAAUCCAUCGACUGUAAGUAUUUAUUAAACAUUUCUAAACUCAAAAUAAAAGAGGGAGAGAGAGAGAGAGAGAGAGAAAGAGAGAGACAGUAACGACUCGCCACUUUUUAUUUUGCUAAUCUAAAAUAAAUUUAUUCAGCAGUUUACCAAGGCCCACCUUUACCUAGUUUGAUGCAAAUGAGAAACGGUAAGUGUUAGCAACACCAUUUCCAAGAAACUUGAGGUACUAUGUCAAACUUAGUUGACACGAGAAGCAACCACUGUACGCUUAACUGACGGUCACGGAAUACAUUACUUCUUGAUACAA